UGGGGGAUAUUACACAAUGGGCGAAAGCCUGAUGCAGCGACGCCGCGUGGGGGAUGAAGGCUUUCGGGUUGUAAACCUCUUUCGCUAUCGAACAAGGCCCGCUUAGGGUGGGUUGAGGGUAGGUGGAGAAGAAGAGCCGGCUAACUACGUGCCAGCAGCCGCGGUAAUACGUAGGGCGCGAGCGUUGUCCGGAAUUAUUGGGCGUAAAGGGCUUGUAGGCGGCUUGUUGCGCCUGCUGUGAAAACGCGGGGCUUAACUUCGCGCGUGCAGUGGGUACGGGCAGGCUUGAGUGUGGUAGGGGUGACUGGAAUUCCAGGUGUAGCGGUGGAAUGCGCAGAUAUCUGGAGGAACACCGAUGGCGAAGGCAGGUCACUGGGCCAUUACUGACGCUGAGGAGCGAAAGCAUGGGUAGCGAACAGG
rnacentral:rRNA from 1 species